rnacentral:pre_miRNA from 1 species
UAUGUACUCCCUCCGUUCCAUAUUAAGUGACUCAAAUUUGUCCAAAUAUGAAUGUAUCUAUAACUAAAAAACAUCUAGAUACAUGUAAUAGAAAGUCACUUAAUAUGGGACGGAGGGAGUAUAAA